rnacentral:rRNA from 1 species
AAAACGGAGAGUUUGAUCCUGGCUCAGGAUGAACGCUGGCGGUAUGCUUAACACAUGCAAGUCGAACGAACUCUUCGGAGUUAGUGGCGGACG